CCAGAGUGCCUUCAGGCUCUCCAACCCACUGUGAACAUACCUAACGUUCCCUCGGCGGGCUCAGCGCUCGGCGGCCUCAGGGCCCCGAGCGUCCGCCGGGGGCCACCAAACUCGAAUUUACAUCGUGUAUCUCUGAGGGGCGAGAGCCCGAAAAACAAAUGAAUCA
rnacentral:misc_RNA from 1 species